CCAAAAUGUUUCAGGCGCGCCCCCACUCGGCUUCCCCGCGGCCGUUCCGGCGCCGCGCCAGUCCCCACCGCCGGCGCGGCCUCCGGGAGGUCGGAGGAGGAGCUACAGGAGGGAGUUGUCGCUGCUUCCACACCCGGCGCCGAGCGGCCGGCCGGGCUCCCCACGCAGCAUGGGCCCGGGCGGGGGAGGGGGAGGGAGGCGCCGUGGAACGGAUCGCCGCCGGCCCGGAAGGCAAGGGAGACGCCGGCUGCGCCGCUGCGGCCUCUCUGCUCCCUCCCGUUCCUGUGUGCUCCACGUUGCCGGUGCCGGCCACCAUCGGAAUUCCGGCAAGCUGGGAGACGGCUCAACCACCAGCCAGGAGGCGGCGAACCACUAUCAGGGAGGCAGGGAGGUGGCGAACCGCCAGCAGGGAGGCAGGGAAGACCAUUGAGGAUCUUUUGGCAUAGCAGAGGAAUUUGUGAUUUGAGUUUGCUGGGUCUGUGAACAGGUCUCUUCAGAUCAUGUAUAACAUUUGGAUGUACGAAGCUGAGAUAGAUGUCGAGAUUAAAGCA